UACGUAGGGUGCGAGCGUUGUCCGGAAUUAUUGGGCGUAAAGAGCUCGUAGGCGGCUCGUCACGUCGGCUGUGAAAACCCGGGGCUCAACCCCGGGCCUGCAGUCGAUACGGGCGAGCUAGAGUUCGGCAGGGGAGACUGGAAUUCCUGGUGUAGCGGUGAAAUGCGCAGAUAUCAGGAGGAACACCGGUGGCGAAGGCGGGUCUCUGGGCCGAUACUGACGCUGAGGAGCGAAAGCGUGGGGAGCGAACAGG
rnacentral:rRNA from 1 species